AUUGAACGCCGGCGGCAGGCCUAACACAUGCCAGUCGAGCGGAUGAAGGGAGCUUGCUCCUGGAUUCAGCGGCGGACGGGUGAGUAAUGCCUAGGAAUCUGCCUGGUAGUGGGGGAUAACGUCCGGAAACGGGCGCUAAUACCGCAUACGUCCUGAGGGAGAAAGUGGGGGAUCUUCGGACCUCACGCUAUCAGAUGAGCCUAGGUCGGAUUAGCUAGUUGGUGGGGUAAAGGCCUACCAAGGCGACGAUCCGUAACUGGUCUGAGAGGAUGAUCAGUCACACUGGAACUGAGACACGGUCCAGACUCCUACGGGAGGCAGCAGUGGGGAAUAUUGGACAAUGGGCGAAAGCCUGAUCCAGCCAUGCCGCGUGUGUGAAGAAGGUCUUCGGAUUGUAAAGCACUUUAAGUUGGGAGGAAGGGCAGUAAGUUAAUACCUUGCUGUUUUGACGUUACCAACAGAAUAAGCACCGGCUAACUUCGUG
rnacentral:rRNA from 1 species